UGGGGAAUUUUGGACGAUGGGCGAAAGCCUGAUCCAGCAAUGCCGCGUGUGUGAAGAAGGCCUUCGGGUUGUAAAGCACUUUUGUCCGGAAAGAAAUCCUUGGCUCUAAUACAGUCGGGGGAUGACGGUACCGGAAGAAUAAGCACCGGCUAACUACGUGCCAGCAGCCGCGGUAAUACGUAGGGUGCAAGCGUUAAUCGGAAUUACUGGGCGUAAAGCGUGCGCAGGCGGUUUGCUAAGACCGAUGUGAAAUCCCCGGGCUCAACCUGGGAACUGCAUUGGUGACUGGGCAGGCUAGAGUAUGGGCAGAGGGGGGUAGAAUUCCACGUGUAGCAGUGAAAUGCGUAGAGAUGUGGAGGAAUACCGAUGGCGAAGGCAGCCCCCUGGGCCAAUACUGACGCUCAUGCACGAAAGCGUGGGGAGCAAACAGGAUUAGAUACCCUGGUAGUCACGCCCUAAACGAUGUCAACUAGUUGUUGGGGAUUCAUUUCCUUAGUAACGUAGCUAACGCGUGAAGUUGACCGCCUGGGGAGUACGGUCGCAAGAUUAAAACUC
rnacentral:rRNA from 1 species